UACUUAUGAUUCAUCCCUGCAGUGUUUUUGUUACGUUUUGGAUAUUUUUUUGAAUAAACAAGGAAGUACUAAGAUGCGGCUACCGAGCUCUUGUCUGCACUUUGGUCCGACCCACAGUCCUCCCCCGACAGUGUUGAGGUGUCGUUGACGGGAAGAAAUUAUCUAAAGAAUUUCAGGCUGAGUACCGGAAGCCGUACCUCAUAUCAACCUGCUUAAGUUGUGGAAGCACAUUUAAAGAUUGUUGUGCAGGUUACUGGGGCAAUGGGAAAUGAGGACAGCUGAGAGGCUUUUAUUCGGAACCCAGUACUCCAGGGUGCUGCAGAGCCACUUCUGCGCCCUGGAUACAGAAUGCUAUGAAGACUUUUAAGAUAUGUGGGACAAAAUGUCUUCAAAAGUUCAGUACUUAAGAAGUACACCACCACCAAGUGAUGCCUGCACAUUUUUUGACGUAAAAUAAAGAACAUCUUUAACCUCA